rnacentral:misc_RNA from 1 species
GUGAAAUCAGUCCAUCAAUUAUUACCCGAUCAUUGUACCUCAAUUCUUAAAACACAAAAAUUAACUGAACAGAAUAGAUUUCCAAAUGGCUAAUCCUUAUGUCCUUCAAAUUACAGUUACAAACGCGGAUCAGAGAAAGUGGCCAACGUAGAAAUAUUACAUUGGAAGGAAUCCCUCCCCAAUGACUAAGCAGCCUCCGGACUUCUCUCUCACUCUUUCUAUGAACAAGAACAAUCAGCAUUCAACAUACCAAGAGAAGCACUUGCCUCUCAACCCCUUCUUAUUUCUUCAAAAUUAAACCUCCCUCAAACUUCAUUACAUGUACAUAGUUUGAGAGUGCAAAACUCACCACCAAAGAUCAGUAAACCUGUAUAUACAUCAAACAAAACCACAACCAUUAGGCCUCCCCCAAUUUUUGUUCCCUCUCUCUUCAGAUCAAAAUUUGCUAAUUUCUGGGUUUUUUUUUUUAAAUUCAGAGUUCAAUGUUUAAGCCACUGCAGAGAUGCUGCAAUUUCUUCUAUCUCUGCUAAGACAAUCAAACCCUUCAAUCCUUACAGCAGCUGGCUUGUGCCCAAAUUUCAUUCGGACACAUCCUCCUCCCUUGCGUGCUGACGAUGAGGAUGGUGAUAGUGGGGCAGGAGACAAAGGAGUUAACUUCUCAUUGCCAAAUUGGGCAUCUUGGACUACAGGGUUUGAUGCCCUACUUGGGGGUGAUCCACAGUAAAAUGGUGGCGAUAAUGCUACCUGGUAACCUGAUCUUUCUCCACCACAUCCUCCCUGAAAAAAUCAAGAAAAACAUAAUCAGUUUCCUUUGUCGCUGAUAAUAUAAAUUCAGUACAUUGUGUAUUUUAUUUUCCUUUUCCUUUAGCCAAGAUAUUCAUUCAUAAACUAAUUAACUGACAGAAAAUAUAUAAUCUUUUCACUAUACGAUUAGAGAAAGCAUGUAAACUAUUUCCACCACAAAAUUGAAAGAUCCUCUUUUUUUUAAGAGGCUCAGAUGAGUAGCAAGAAAUCUCAAGCUUUAAAGGAAUUUAUACAAGAAAGAUGAAAAAUAAAUAAAAGAUUUUACAAGAUUCGAGUCAACCACACAUAAGUCCAACAGGAAGAUGCCAUCACAAAAGAUUUUUGGCAGAAAAAAACAAGAGGUUCUUGCUUCUUAGCUAGGACUCUACUAGAGUUAUUCUGUUUUCGAGUAAUGGACGGAUAAAACUAUGUACUACAGCGUUCUUGUUCUCCUUCUUAGCUUAGCUACGAUACAACAUAAUACCAAAAUAAUAAUAACAAUAAAGUGUAAAAUUCCAAUUCGACAAAGAGAGAUGAACCUUAGUGAGAAUUAUGUCAAGAAGCUCAGGCCCAGCAAUAGAAUCUCCCAUGUCAGUCUGGUGACUGCCAUUUGCAAGAAGAAUAAACCAAAAUAAAAACAAUAAAUUUAUAUAGUUUAGAUUAGAAGACAGAAAAUCUAACAAAUAAAGAUAUACAUAUAUAUAAAUUAUACUUGAUGGGCAAUCUUAAGGGUCUGAAUUGGUCGUGAAGGGAAGGAUUUGAAAGACCCAAACGGCGAGGCUUGGGGCAAACCAUAGAGUCUACCACCAUCAUCCUCCUCUCCUCGCAGCCUCCCAUGGCGCUUUUUCGCAGGUACCCACAAGAAUUCAUUUUCGAUUAUCGUUCACACAGCGAACGCCUGAGCAGCCAGAAAGGCUCCUCCACGAGGAGGAGAGGAGAGAAUUAAGGAGGAAGAAUGGGGAGGCCCAGGGAGGAGAAAUCAAGAGAUUAGAUACCCAGAGAGAGAGUCAGAGAGAGAAAAGAUAUGGCGAUGGAUUUGAUCAUUCAUGGAAAGGCCACAAUCCACAUGGGAAGAAGAUGAGCAUGAGUCGGUCAGGUUCAGGUGUGGUCGAGUCUGG